rnacentral:tRNA from 1 species
CGGCGUGUGGCUGAUGACGUGACGGCCGCCGGUGCCCUGACCGCCUCCCCCGAUGACGGGCAGGUAGUCGUCACCAGGUUCGAGUGUCCCGGCGUGCUGACC